UCUUUUCUCUGAUAGACCCGAUCUCAAAACACUCCAUCCACCACCGUCGCGGCGGCGGAUCUACUAAGCAGAUCCAUUUCUCCUCUUUCACAAAGGGUCUCGUACACCGUUAAGAUCUUAUCUUUCACCGCAGGCCUUGAUCGAGUCAAGAACAUGAGCUUCAUUGUCAAGAAUGCUAUUGUGGAUCGGUUUACUCUUGGGAGGAGAAAUGAGCCACUGUUCGAUCCUAGUGCUUCUCGAUCGGUUUACUCGUGGGAGGAGAGAUGGGCCAGUGCUCGAUCUAGUGCUUGGGAGGAGAGAUUCUCGAUCGGGUUUACUCUUGGGACGAGAGAUGGGCCACAGCUCGAUCGGUAUAAUCUUGGGCAGCUGGGGCGGUUUAAUGGGUCUACAGUAGGCCUCUUGGGCAGAAAUCCAGAAGAUAUCUUCUCCUCUAGAAGAAAGACUUCUGGAGCAAGUUUCAGGAAGAAGCAAAAGCUGAUCUCUCUCUUGAGAUUCUGGAUGGUGCAAAAGAUAAUCUCAUUUCUUUCUGCGCCAAUUUCCACGAUGAGAGAUUUCCCACCGACUAAGUUCAUGUCUCUCGUGCUAGUUGUUAUAGCUUUGGAAGUUCAUCUAUAUUCAUGAGUAACUUCAUUAAAAAGCUUGAAGCUGCACAAGGCCAACAAGAUCCCAAAGCCAUAAUGAACAAGCAUUUCAAAGAUGUUAAGGAGAAGAUGAAGAAAAAGGCAAGAGGCAAACAGAGAGCCAGAGAUGAUGCGGCGGAAAAAGCAAAGUUGGAAGAGGAGAAGUCGGAAAAAGCUUCUCAGAGAGCCGCCUUAGUAGCAUCUCCGACUGUUGAAGAGAAUUUGGAGGCUUUGCGGAAGACGAGAGAGAAGAGUCAAGAGGUUGAGAAGAAACUUAAGGAAGAGAAAUCAAUGGAUUUGAAGAUUGCUAAAGCUAAAGAGGACCGUCAAAAGAAACGAGUUGUAUCUGGAAACAGACUCAAAGGGUGCAAGAUUGACGGUGAGUCUAUCAGAGGACAUAAAGGAGGCAACAGGAGCACAUGAAAUGUUCAAUUCGACUGGUUUAGGAGAUUGAGCUCAUAUCCCUUUUGUUUAUUCAAAUGUGAAAACAUAAGAACUGAACCUUUAACAAUUUGUGUUUUGUUGAUAGCUUUCUUGCAAGUUAGGAAAUAUGGACUAAAUGGAAUCUACUUUUGCCCCUAG